CCUACGGGAGGCAGCAGUGAGGAAUAUUGGUCAAUGGCCGGAAGGCUGAACCAGCCAAGCCGCGUGAAGGACGAAGGUGCCAAGCAUUGUAAACUUCUUUUGUCAAGGGACAAAAUCAGACUCGUGAGCCUGACCGAGGGUACUUGAAGAAAAAGCAUCGGCUAACUCCGUGCCAGCCGCCGCGGUAGUACGGAGGAUGGGAGGGUUAUCCGGAUUUAUUGGGUUAAAAGGGUGCGGAGGCGGACUGUUAAGUCAGCGGUAAAAGCCCGGGGCUCAACCCCGGCGAGCCGGUGACACUGGCUGUCGUGAGAUGUCGAGAGGUAUGCGGAAUGCGCAGUGUAGCGGUGAAAUGCUUAGAUAUUGCGCAGAACUCCGAUUGCGAAGGCAGCAUACCGGCGGCGAUCUGACGCUGAGGCACGAAAGCGUGGGUAUCGAACAGGAUUAGAUACCCGGGUAGUC
rnacentral:rRNA from 1 species